GGCAGCCUUUAGUUUGGAAUAAACAGUCGUCCUCGCGCUGUCCCAUGUAACUGACACCUAAGUGUCUCCCCAGGGACAGGCUGGAAUUUCAGGUGUCCAGCCUCUAACCCCCCAGGGUUAGAGGAGGGUGCUGCAGAGGAGACAUUGGUCCGUCCCCAAGAAGCUGCUGCAUGCCGAGGCUUGCUUUGGAGAUAGUCGUGUGACCUGCCAGCCCAAGGAGAGUCGCCCUUGGAACUUCAGCUGGAAGCAUCUGGAAAUAAGCACUCCUUCGGUGGUGUCCCUCCUUGUCACAGCUUGGACAUGGCCUCCUGAGGAGACCAAAAGAGAAGAAAACAACCAUUGAGCCCCUUUGGCUAGAGUACAAGCCAAUUGUGAGAACAAAUAAAUGACCUUACAUGCUGA